CCCGGAGGGGCAGCGAGGAGCCGGGCACCCGGGGCGUCCUCUCACAGUGGCUGCCUUCUCACGUGGCCCUCGGCCCUGAGCGUGGGGCUCUGUGACCUCCCUGCCGCCGAAUUCCUGACAAGCCCCCUCCCCGCCACACACACAGCUGGGCGAAUGGAGCGUUUAUUCGCAGCUUCGUGAAAAUCCUGGAGCCCUGGGUCAGGGUCUGGCUGGUUCCCAAAGAGGAAUGGGCUCGGCGUAGGAUCUUGUGCCGAGAGAGGCUUCAGAGUGGCUCCUCCUGUUCGGUGGAGGGGACGCUCGACGGAGACCCCUGGAAGGCCUUUUGUGUCACAACUCCGGGGAGCAAGGGUGCUCUUCCUGGCUGUGCCUUUGUGGAUCCGCAGUUAGAGUGGAGUUGUCCCAGGGACCAGCUGGCUCUGGGAGCCCGUGGUUGUCAGCGAGAUGCCGAGGGGCCGGGAAGCCGCGUCAGUGGGGCCUGUGCGGGAACCAGGGCUUCUCUGGCUUCUGACCAGGCUGCAUCCCGAGCUUGGCCCUGUGAUCUCAAGGUGGUGGCCCGAGGUUUUUAUCUAUAGGAAAGAGCUGGAGCCCGGCCUGCUCAUCUCCAUCCCCUCGGUGCCUCUCUGCCUCUCGCCUGCCCCCUGCCCCGAUCUGACUCUCAAGGGGGAAAUAACAUCAGGGAGCCCCUCGUCUUCCCCCUUAAGGCCCCUCGUUCCUGCCAUAUUUAAUGCUGUUUCCUCUCAUCUUGGUGCUGUUGGCAGCACAGGACGCGGCCCCGCAGCUGCUCUUCUCCCUGGUGCCGCCAGUGGUGGCAGGUGGGCGGGGAAGCCGCUUCCUCUCUCGUGGGGUGGACAGGGCAUGGGGUCAGAGCUCAGGCUACCCCUCAUCCCCAGACCUUACUCCCCUUCCAGGGAAGAGAGUGACCAAAUCCUUAUCCAGGAAAAAGCACCUGCUGCCUCCCCUGGGACAGCCUGGAGCUCUGCCUUCCAGAGCAUCCCAAAGGUCCUGCCUGCGGAGUGUUGCUCCCAGGAGGUUGGUCAGUGCUUCUGA
rnacentral:lncRNA from 1 species